GUCCAUGGUCAUGCCACCCUGAACAAGCUCAAGGUCUGAUCUCGGAAGCUAAGCAGAGUCGGGCCUGGUUAGUACCUGGAUGGGAGACCACCUAGGAAGACCAGGUGUUGUAGACG
rnacentral:rRNA from 1 species